AUUGAACGCUGGCGGCAUGCUUUACACACACAAGUCGAACGGCAGCGGGGAGGAGCUUGCUUCUCUGCCGGCGAGUGGCGAACGGGUGAGUAAUACAUCGGAACGUGUCGAGAAGAGGGGGAUAACCACCCGAAAGGGUGGCUAAUACCGCAUAAAUUCUGAGGAAGAAAGCUGGGGACCUAGGAAUAGGCCUAGCGCUUUUUGAGCGGCCGAUGUCGGAUUAGCUAGUUGGUGAGGUAAAGGCUCACCAAGGCGAAGAUCUGUAGCGGGUCUGAGAGGAUGAUCCGCCACACUGGGACUGAGACACGGCCCAGACUCCUACGGGAGGCAGCAGUGGGGAAUUUUGGACAAUGGGGGCAACCCUGAUCCAGCCAUGCCGCGUGUAUGAAGAAGGCCUUAGGGUUGUAAAGUACUUUUGUUAGGGAAGAAAAGUCAGCUGUGAAUAAUGGCUGAUACUGACGGUACCUAAAGAAUAAGCACCGGCUAACUACGUG
rnacentral:rRNA from 1 species